UGUCCCACCGGCUUUCCUAGGAAACCAGAGAAGAGAAAAGAGAGAGAGGAGAGAGAGAGAGAGAGAUUCGGGAGAGAGAAACUUUGGACUUUAGAGAGAGACAGAGAGCGACUGGAAGACUGUUUUUGUAUGCUAACUUCAGAAACUCAUAUGGAGAGAGAGAGGUCUGAGAUAGGAGGGGAAUGCUCCCAACUUUCUUCUGUGUUCAAAAAUUAUUUCGGAUCUUCUGAAAAUGUGCAGCGAUAAGAACAGCUCUCAUUCUCUUCUCUUCGAUCUGAGUUUUUGAGUUUCAGUCCUCCACGUGUGUUCACCGGUAAUUCUUUCGGAUGUGAUAGAGAAGGAGAUCGAUCUUCCAAUCGCCAAUGGUGGCGCCAGUUAAUAUUAUUCUAGGUUCUCAUGUAUGGGCUGAAGACCCAGCAUUGGCCUGGAUUGAUGGUGAAGUUUUUCGGAUUGAUGGUCAAGAUAUUCAUGUUAAGACUACAAGUGGAAAAACGGUUGUCACGAAUGUGUCCAAAGUGUUUCCGAAGGACACUGAAGCCCCACCUGGAGGGGUAGAUGACAUGACAAAACUUUCAUAUUUGCAUGAGCCUGGAGUUCUGCAAAACCUGGCCACUAGAUAUGAACUUAAUGAAAUCUACACAUACACUGGGAAUAUCCUUAUUGCAAUAAAUCCAUUUCAAAGAUUACCUCAUCUGUAUGAUACCCAUAUGAUGCAACAAUAUAAAGGAGCAGCUUUUGGGGAGUUAAGCCCUCAUGUUUUUGCAGUUGCAGAUGUUGCGUACAGGGCAAUGAUUAAUGAAGGGAAAAGUAACUCCAUUCUAGUCAGUGGAGAAAGUGGUGCUGGUAAAACUGAGACGACGAAAAUGCUCAUGAGAUAUCUUGCAUACAUGGGUGGGCGAUCUGGAACUGAAGGACGGACAGGUGAACAACAAGUUCUGGAAUCAAACCCUGUUCUUGAAGCAUUCGGCAAUGCGAAAACUGUUCGGAACAACAACUCAAGUCGUUUUGGUAAAUUUGUUGAGAUCCAAUUCGACAAGAGUGGGAGAAUAUCAGGGGCAGCUAUUCGGACAUACCUUCUUGAAAGGUCUCGGGUUUGCCAAAUAUCAGAUCCUGAAAGAAACUACCAUUGCUUUUACCUUCUUUGUGCAGCACCAUCAGAGGACAUCGUGAAAUAUAAGUUGGGAAAUCUUAAAUCUUUUCAUUAUCUAAACCAGUCCAGUUGCUAUGAGCUUGAUGGAGUAAAUGAUGCCCAUGAAUAUCUUGCAACCAGAAGGGCAAUGGAUAUUGUUGGGAUAAGCAAGCAAGAACAGGAAGCAAUUUUCAGGGUUGUAGCUGCGAUUCUUCAUCUUGGAAAUAUUGAAUUUGCAAAGGGAAAGGAGAUAGACUCCUCUGUCAUCAAGGAUGAGAAGUCCAGAUUUCAUCUUAAUAUGACAGCUGAACUUCUUAUGUGCAACACCCCAGGCUUAGAAGAUGCAUUGAUUAAACGUGUAAUGGUGACUCCGGAGGAAGUCAUUACAAGAGCUCUAGAUCCUGUUGCAGCAGUGUUUAGCAGGGAUGGCUUGGCUAAGACAAUAUAUUCUCGUCUGUUUGAUUGGCUUGUGGAAAAAAUUAAUAUUUCAAUUGGGCAGGAUCCGAACUCAAAGUCAAUAAUUGGAGUUCUUGAUAUUUAUGGUUUUGAAAGUUUUAAGUGCAAUAGUUUUGAGCAGUUCUGUAUCAAUUUUACAAACGAGAAGCUGCAACAACAUUUCAACCAGCACAUCUUCAAAAUGGAACAAGAAGAGUAUACCAAGGAGGAAAUCAAUUGGAGCUACAUAGAAUUUGUUGAUAACCAAGAUGUUCUGGAUCUGAUUGAGAAGAAACCAGGAGGAAUAAUUGCACUUCUUGAUGAAGCUUGCAUGUUUCCUAAGUCUACACGAGAAACAUUUGCCCAGAAAUUGUACACAACAUUUAAAAACAAUAAGCGCUUCAGAAAACCAAAGCUUUCUCGUACUGGUUUUACAAUAUCUCACUAUGCAGGGGAGGUAAAUUAUCAAUGCGAUCAGUUCCUGGACAAGAACAAAGAUUAUGUUGUGGCAGAGCAUCAAGAAUUAUUGACUGCCUCAAAGUGCUCCUUUGUUGCUGGGUUGUUUCCUCCACUUCCAGAGGAGUCAUCAAAGUCAUCCAAAUUCUCUUCUAUUGGGGUACGCUUCAAGCUGCAACUUCAAUCUUUGAUGGAAACCUUGAGUUCAACAGAACCUCACUACAUCAGAUGUGUGAAACCAAACAAUGUGCUCAAACCUGCUAUUUUUGAGAACUUGAACAUUAUCAAUCAAUUACGCUGUGGUGGUGUUCUUGAAGCAAUUAGGAUCAGCUGUGCUGGAUAUCCCACUAGACGAACAUUUUAUGAGUUUCUGAACCGUUUUAGUAUUCUUGCCCCAGAUGUUUUGGAGGGAAACUACGAUGACAAGGUUGCAUGCCAAAUGAUUUUAGAUAAAAUGGGAUUGAAAGGUUAUCAGAUAGGUAAGUCAAAAGUCUUCCUGAGAGCUGGUCAGAUGGCUGAGUUGGAUGCACGAAGAACAGAGGUUCUUGGCAAUGCAGCUAGAACCAUUCAAAGACAAAUCCGUACUUACAUUGCUCGCAAAGAAUUCAUCACAUUGCGCAAAGCUGUGAUUCACUUGCAAUCCUGCUUGAGAGGUAAACUGACCCGCAAAUUGUAUGAGCACUUACGACGGGAAGCAGCUGCUGUGAAGAUAGAGAAAAUUUUCCGUCAAUAUGUUGCAAGGAAAUCUUACAAAGCACUGCAGUUGUCUGCAAUCACCUUGCAGACAGGCUUGAGGGCAAUGGCUGCACGCAAUGGUUUCACAUUCAGAAAGCAAACUAAGGCUACGAUCAUUAUCCAGGCUCAUUGGCGUUGCUACAGGGAAUGUUCAUACUAUAAGCGGCUUCAGAAGGCAAUAAUCAUUUCUCAGUGUGGUUGGAGACAAACCGUAGCUAGGAGAGAGCUCAGAAAGCUCAAAAUGGCUGCAAGAGAAACGGGGGCCCUUAAAGAAGCAAAAGAUAAACUGGAAAAGAUGGUGGAGGAGCUUACAUGGCGUUUGCAGUUGGAGAAAAGAAUAAGGACUGACCUAGAAGAGGCAAAAGCCCAAGAAAUUUCCAAGUUACAGGAUGCUUUGCAAGCAAUGCAACUACAAGUAGAAGAGGCAAAUGCAAGGGUUGUAAGAGAACGAGAGGCAGCUCGGAAAGCUAUCGAAGGAGCACCACCAGUGAUUAAGGAAACCCCUGUUAUAGUUCAAGAUACCGCAAAGGUUGAUGCAUUGACUGCUGAAGUUGAGAAUCUGAAGGAAAAGCUGAAAUCAGAACGACAGACAGCAGAAGAAACUAAAAAAGCUCAUGCUGAUGCUCAGGCUCAGGCUAAAAAUGGAGAGCUGAGUAAAAAGCUCGAAGAUGCGGAGCGCAAAGUGGAUCAACUUCAGGAUUCAGUGCAGAGGCUUGAAGAGAAACUGUCCAAUAUAGAGUCAGAGAAUCAAGUACUCCGUCAGCAGGCACUGGCCAUUUCACCAACUAGUAAAGCUUUAUCUGCACAGCAGAAGACAACAGUUAUUCAGAGGACUCCAGAUAAUGGGAAUAUUCUGAGUGGAGAAACAAAGAUGGCAUCAGAUUUGAAUCUUGCUGUAUCUACUCCACGGGAGCCUGAAACAGAGGAAAGGCCGCAAAAAUCACUUAAUGUGAAACAGCAGGAGAACCAAGACCUGCUGAUAAAGUGUAUUUCUCAAGACCUUGGGUUCACUGGGGGCAGACCUGUUGCUGCCUGUAUCAUUUAUAAAUGCCUGCUUCACUGGAGGUCAUUUGAAGUUGAAAGAACCACCGUCUUUGACCGUAUCAUUCAAACAAUAGGCUCAGCUAUUGAGGCCCAGGAUAAUAAUGAUGUACUAGCCUAUUGGUUAUCUAAUUCAUCCACAUUAUUGUUGCUUCUCCAACGCACCCUAAAAGCAAGUGGUGCAUCUAGCUUGGCUCCUCAAAGGCGAAGAUCAGCUUCUCUGUUUGGAAGGAUGUCUCCAGGACUAAGAUCAUCUCCACAAAGUGCUGGGCUCCCAUUUCUUAAUGGUCGGAUGCUCAGUGGAUUGGAUGAUUUGCGAAAAGUUGAAGCCAAAUAUCCUGCUUUACUGUUCAAGCAGCAACUUACAGCGUUCCUUGAGAAGAUAUAUGGAAUGAUAAGGGAUAAUCUGAAAAAAGAGAUCUCUCCAUUGCUUGGAUUGUGUAUACAGGCACCCAGGACAUUCAGGGCAAGUUUAGUGAAAGGACGUUCAAAAGCAAAUGCUGUUGCUCAACAAGCAUUAAUUGCCCACUGGCAGAGCAUUGUGAAAAGUUUGAAUAGUAACUUGAAGAUUAUGAAAGCCAACUUUGUUCCCCCCUUCUUAGUCCGCAAGGUGUUCACUCAGAUAUUCUCUUUCAUCAAUGUUCAGCUAUUCAACAGCCUCCUUUUGCGGCGUGAAUGUUGCUCAUUCAGCAAUGGGGAGUAUGUAAAAGCAGGGUUGGCUGAGUUAGAGCAGUGGUGCUAUGACACCACUGAAGAGUACACUGGUUCAGCUUGGGAUGAAUUGAAGCAUAUCAGACAGGCAGUUGGUUUCCUGGUCAUACAUCAAAAACCUAAGAAAACCCUGAAAGAAGUAACCAGUGACCUCUGCCCAGUAAUGAGCAUACAACAGUUAUACAGGAUCAGUGCCAUGUACUGGGAUGACAAAUAUGGCACACAGAGUGUAUCUUCAGAUGUAAGUAUAGGUUAUUUCGAGUAUGAGAGUUCUGAUGACUGAAGAUUCCAACAAUGCCAUCAGCAAUUCUUUCUUGUUAGAUGAUGACUCGAGCAUACCAUUUUCUGUAGACGACAUCUCCAAAUCAAUGCAGCAGAUAGACAUAGCUGAUAUUGAUCCUCCACCUCUAAUUCGUGAUAACGCUGGGUUUAUAUUUUUAUUGCAAUGGCCAGAAUGAUCCCCAUGAGCAUGGUAGCCCUCUCCCAACUCCUCUUGUCAUCCUUACACCACACUCUGCAUUCCUACAAUCCACUCCUGCAACCUGUGCAUAUAUCUCAAUAUCUGUCUCCAUGUGUAUUGUAUACCAUUCAUCAGCGUUUGUUCUGCAUCCAGAUUUAUUCAUUUUUUACCCCUGUUCCCAUUGAAUGGGGUAUAGGCUUAGAGGUCAUAGUGCUUUAAGUAUGAUAUUGCAAGGAUUAUAGAAACAUACAUGGGGUCCCAGCAACUAAUGGUGACACCUGCAUAGGCAUCGUUUUGUACGUUGUUGUUUUUGGGGUUUUGUCUAUCUUAGCAAUUUGCAUAUAAUUUCUUUCAGCAGCCGCAUUUUGAGGCAAUUAUUUGUUGUAACUAGAUUCCAUUUGUAUGUAAGAUGAUAUAUUAUUUCAUAUGAUUUUCAUGGAUC